rnacentral:rRNA from 1 species
AGUGAACGCUGGCGGUAGGCCUAACACAUGCAAGUCGAACGGCAGCACAGGAGAGCUUGCUCUCUGGGUGGCGAGUGGCGGACGGGUGAGGAAUACAUCGGAAUCUACUCUGUCGUGGGGGAUAACGUAGGGAAACUUACGCUAAUACCGCAUACGACCUACGGGUGAAAGCAGGGGAUCUUCGGACCUUGCGCGAUUGAAUGAGCCGAUGGCGGAUUAGCUAGUUGGCGGGGUAAAGGCCCACCAAGGCGACGAUCCGUAGCUGGUCUGAGAGGAUGAUCAGCCACACUGGAACUGAGACACGGUACAGACUCCUACGGGAGGCAGCAGUGGGGAAUAUUGGACAAUGGGCGCAAGCCUGAUCCAGCCAUACCGCGUGGGUGAAGAAGGACUUCGGGUUGUAAAGCCCUUUUGUUGGGAAAGAAAUCCAGCUGGCUAAUACCCGGUUGGGAUGACGGUACCCAAAGAAUAAGCACCGGCUAACUUCGUGCCAGCCGCCGCAGUAA